rnacentral:rRNA from 1 species
GACGAACCGUGCGAACGUUAUUCGGGAUCACUGGGCUUAAAGCGCGUGUAGGCGGGUCGGUGCGUCGGCCGCUGAAAUCCCCCGGCUCAACCGGGGAAGGGGCGCCGAUACGACCGGCCUGGAGCGACGUAGGGGGAACUGGAACUUCCGGUGGAGCGGUGAAAUGCGUUGAGAUCGGAAGGAACGCCCGUGGCGAAAGCGAGUUCCUGGACGUCGGCUGACGCUGAGACGCGAAAGCCAGGGGAGCGAACGGG